GAUGAAGAACGCAGUGAAAUGCGAUAAUUAAUGUGAAUUGCAGAAUUUAGUGAAUCAUCGAAUCUUUGAACGCACAUUGCGCCCCUUGGUAUUCCGAGGGGCAUGCCUGUUCGAGCGUCAUUUUGACCACUCCCGCUUGCGGGGUCUUGGGCCUUCGCCUCUGGGCGGGCCUUAAAAUCAGUGGCGGUGCCGUCCGGCUCUAAGCGUAGUAAAUCUCCUCGCUAUAGGGUUCCGGAGGGAUGCUGGCCAACAACCCCCAACUUUUAAGGUUGACCUCGGAUCAGGUAGGGAUACCCGCUGAACUUUAGCAUAUCAAUAAGCGGAGGA
rnacentral:misc_RNA from 1 species